rnacentral:rRNA from 1 species
AACGAACGCUGGCGGCGUGCCUAACACAUGCAAGUCGAACGAGAAAGUCCCGCAAGGGAUGAGUAAAGUGGCGCACGGGUGAGUAACACGUAGGUAACCUGCCUCUAAGAUCGGGAUAACCUGUCGAAAGACGAGCUAAUACCGGAUAAGACCACAGUCCCCUCGGGGACAGGGGUCAAAGGUAGCCUCUGCUUGCAAGCUAUCACUUAGAGAUGGCCUGCGUACCAUUAGCUAGUUGGUAGGUAACGGCCUACCAAGGCAAAGAUGGUUAGCUGGUCUGAGAGGAUGAUCAGCCACACUGGAA